CCUACGGGGGGCAGCAGUGGGGAAUAUUGGACAAUGGGCGAAAGCCUGAUCCAGCCAUGCCGCGUGUGUGAAGAAGGCCUUCGGGUUGUAAAGCACUUUCAGUGGGGAAGAAAGCCUUGGGGCUAAUACCCUCGAGGAAGGACAUCACCCACAGAAGAAGCACCGGCUAACUCCGUGCCAGCAGCCGCGGUAAUACGGAGGGUGCGAGCGUUAAUCGGAAUUACUGGGCGUAAAGCGCGCGUAGGCGGUCUGAUAAGCCGGUUGUGAAAGCCCCGGGCUCAACCUGGGAACGGCAUCCGGAACUGUCAGGCUAGGGUGCAGGAGAGGAAGGUAGAAUUCCCGGUGUAGCGGUGAAAUGCGUAGAGAUCGGGAGGAAUACCAGUGGCGAAGGCGGCCUUCUGGACUGACACUGACGCUGAGGUGCGAAAGCGUGGGUAGCAAACAGGAUUAAUACCCCAGUAGUC
rnacentral:rRNA from 1 species